rnacentral:rRNA from 1 species
GACGAACGCUGGCGGCGUGCCUAAUACAUGCAAGUCGAACGCUUCUUUUUCCACCGGAGCUUGCUCCACCGGAAAAAGAGGAGUGGCGAACGGGUGAGUAACACGUGGGUAACCUGCCCACCAGAAGGGGAUAACACUUGGAAACAGGUGCUAAUACCGUAUAACAAUCAAAACCGCAUGGUUUUGAUUUGAAAGGCGCUUUCGGGUGUCGCUGAUGGAUGGACCCGCGGUGCAUUAGCUAGUUGGUGAGGUAACGGCUCACCAAGGCCACGAUGCAUAGCCGACCUGAGAGGGUGAUCGGCCACAUUGGGACUGAGACACGGCCCAAACUCCUACGGGAGGCAGCAGUAGGGAAUCUUCGGCAAUGGACGAAAGUCUGACCGAGCAACGCCGCGUGAGUGAAGAAGGUUUUCGGAUCGUAAAACUCUGUUGUUAGAGAAGAACAAGGAUGAGAGUAACUGUUCAUCCCUUGACGGUAUCUAACCAGAAAGCCACGGCUAACUACGUGCCAGCAGCCGCGGUAAUACGUAGGUGGCAAGCGUUGUCCGGAUUUAUUGGGCGUAAAGCGAGCGCAGGCGGUUUCUUAAGUCUGAUGUGAAAGCCCCCGGCUCAACCGGGGAGGGUCAUUGGAAACUGGGAGACUUGAGUGCAGAAGAGGAGAGUGGAAUUCCAUGUGUAGCGGUGAAAUGCGUAGAUAUAUGGAGGAACACCAGUGGCGAAGGCGGCUCU